AUCGCCUGUUGAACCAAAAAUGCAUAGAGGAGGAGGACUAUAUAAGGAGACCCCCCUGGCCCUUGGAGAAGACAAGAAAUUAUCAUAGAGAUUGAGGGGUGCCCUCGAAGGAAAACCUCUUCUCUAAAUAAUAUUUCUUUUUAGGCUUAGCAACCAAUGUAAGGUAGAAAUAGAUCUUCUAGUUUCUACUAGAUUGAGAGAGAUAGAGUGGAGGUGU
rnacentral:lncRNA from 1 species